CAAGGGCUGUACAGUUCCUGGAGCUGGGCAGUCUUCUCAGAGUGGAGCCUGGUAACCGCGACCUCCCCGCCAGUUCCUGUGUGUUGCUGGCUGGAAAGGGGUAGUUGACAAACUCCCACCCAGCACAGUAUUUAUGUCGGUCAAAAAUGGAAAACUAUGUGUCCGGGCACGGCCCAGGAAGGAGGAUUCCUUCAGGCCAAGAGCAGCCUAGCAAUAUGGCGCAACCCCACCUCUGUAGUCCAACCUCAGCCUCCCAGCUACUUGAACCCCAAGAUUCAAGGCUCCAAUGAGCUGUGAUCUCACCACAGCACUCCUGCCUGCGAGACUGAGAGACCAAAGACCAACAAACUACCACAGCCACCAGUUCCGGAACCUGCCAAUGAUGGGCAACGGAAAGUGAGGGAGUUCAACUCUGUUUUCAGAGAAGUGGAAUAAUCAUAUCGCUGAUCUAUGUAAACAAGUUGAAGAAUUGUCUGACAGAAAAUAUGACAUGAACUUGUGAAUUCAACACGUGAAGAUUUACAACUUGAUAAACCAGCUUCAGGAGUAAAGGAAGAAUGGUAUGCCAGAAUCACUAAAUGAAGAAAGAUGGUGGAUCAGCUUUUCUGCAAAAAAAUUUGCUGAAGCCUUGGGGAGCACUGAAGCCAAGGUUCUACUGUACCAAAAAUUUGAAGGCCAUGCGAAUGAUCUGUAUGCGGAAGGACUACCAGAAAACAUUCCUUUCAGAAGUCCCUCGUGGUAUGGAAUCCCAAGGCUGGAAAACAUCAUUCAAGUGGGCAAUCGAAUUAAAUUUCUUAUUAAAAGCUCAAGCUCUUGGACUCACUGAGGCAGUAAAAGUACCAUAUUCUGUGUUUGAAUCAAACCCCGAGUUCCUGUAUGUAGAAGGCUUGCCAGACAGAAUUUCCUUUCCAAGCCCUACCUGGUUUGGAAUUCCAUGACUUGAAAGGAUCGUCUGUGGAGUAAUAAAACCAAGUUUGUUGUUAAAAAGUAAGUUCCAGGCCAGGUAUGGUGGCUCACGCCUGUAAUCCCAGCACUUUGGGAGGCCAAGGCAGGUGAAUCACCUGAGGUCAGGAGUUCAAGACCAGCCUGACCAACAUAUCUACUAAAAAUGUUAAAAAUUAGCCAGGCAUGUUGGCUGGUGCCUGUAAUCCCAGCUACUUGGGAGCCUGAAGCAGGAGAAUCGCUUGAAUCUGGGAGGCAGAGGCUGCAGUGAGCCCAGAUCACAGCACUGUACUCUAGCCUGGGCGACAGAGUGAGACUCUGCCUCGACAACAACAACAACAAUAUUAAAAAAACCUGAACUAGUUAUUUCCUACUCGCCUCCUGGAAUGGCUAAUAAAAUAAACACUAAAGCUUUGCAGUCCCCAAAAAGACCAUGAAGCCCUGAGAGUAAUGGAAAGGUUCCUGAAAUUGAGGUCACUGUGGAAGAGCCACCUAAGCUGAAGAUUCCCUUGAGAACAAGGGCUAGCCUGUGAUUUCGUGACCUUUCUUCCAUUUGUGGUUCUUGCCAAGUGGAAUUUAAAUGACCUUUUAUCAAGAUGGAUAAACCCAAGUUUCCCAGUGCCAGAAUAUAGAAAAUGGAUGGAUAACUGAAUCUACCAUGAAAGACUUCAGAGUCCAGGAAGAGAGACUGACUGGGCAACAUCUUAUUCAGCUGAAUCUACCAUGAAAGACUUCAGAAUCCAGGAAGAGAGACUGACUGGGCAACAUCUUAUUCAG
rnacentral:lncRNA from 1 species